rnacentral:rRNA from 1 species
GACGAACGCUGGCGGCGUGCUUAACACAUGCAAGUCGAACGGUAAGGCCCUUCGGGGUACACGAGUGGCGAACGGGUGAGUAACACGUGGGUGAUCUGCCCUGCACUUCGGGAUAAGCCUGGGAAACUGGGUCUAAUACCGGAUAGGACUCCGGACUGCAUGGUCUGGGGUGGAAAGCUUUUGCGGUGUGGGAUGGGCCUGCGGCCUAUCAGCUCGUUGGUGGGGGAAUGGCCUACCAAGGCGACGACGGGUAGCCGGCCUGAGAGGGUGACCGGUCACACUGGGACUGAGAUACGGCCCAGACUCCUACGGGAGGCAGCAGUGGGGAAUAUUGCACAAUGGGCGCAAGCCUGAUGCAGUGACGCCGCGUGAGGGAUGAGGGCCUUCGGGUUGUAAACCUCUUUCAGCUAUGACGAAGCGCAAGUGACGGUAGUAGCAGAAGAAGGACCGGCCAACUACGUGCCAGCAGCCGCCGUAA